rnacentral:rRNA from 3 species
GGUGAACGCUGGCGGCGUGCUUGACACAUGCAAGUCGAACGGUAUGUGGCAACACAUAGAGUGGCGAACGGGUGAGUAACACGUGGGAACGUACCCUACGCAGGGGGAUAACUGACCGAAAGGACAGCUAAUACCGCAUAAGACCGAAAGGUGAAAGGUGCAACUGCACCGGCGAAGGAGCGGCCCGCGGACCAUCAGCUAGUUGGUGGGGUAAGAGCCUACCAAGGCAACGACGGAUAGCCGGCGUGAGAGCGUGGCCGGCCACAAGGACACUGAGAUACGGGUCCUACUCCUACGGGAGGCAGCAGUGCGGAAUUUUAGAUAAUGGAGGCAACUCUGAUCUAGCGACGCCGCGUGCAGGAAGAAGGUCUUCGGAUUGUAAACUGCUGUGGUAAGGGAAAAAUGCCAUGUAGAGUGGAAAGCUACAUGGAGGGAUGGUACUUUACUAGAAAGCCCCGGCUAACUACGUGCCAGCAGCCGCGGUAAUACGUAGGGGGCGAGCGUUACCCGGAAUCACUGGGCGUAAAGGGAGCGUAGGUGGCCUGACAUGUCAACUGUGAAAACCCGGAGCUCAACUCCGGACUUGCAGUUGAAACUGCCAGGCUUGAGGACGGUAGAGGAAGACGGAACUGCCAGUGUAGGGGUAAAAUCCUUAGAUAUUGGCAGGAACGCCGGUGACGAAGGUGGUUUUCUGGGCCGGUUCUGACACUGAUGCUCGAAAGCCAGGGGAGCGAACG